UAGGCCCGGCCGGCCCUCUCCUUCCCUCCCCUCGGCAGUACGGCCCCUCCGGCCUCGGCCUCCGGGCUCCGGCAACCCGGCUCCGCCCUCCCCGAACAGCACAAGAGUUUCCUCCGCCUCCGAGAUCCGGCCGGCCUCCAGUGCUCCCUCGACGGCUCCACGCGGACCACGCCUCCACUGCUGACCGUCCUGCUCCUCCAGCAUAGCUCCAGUGCUCCACCAAGGUACUUGGCUUUUUGCCCUCUGUUUUUCUUAAGAAAUCUGAAGAUUUGUUUGUGAACUGAAAUGAACUAAAUGGACAUUGGAGUUUGAAGAAGAAGGAUGUUUAUGUGAUGGAUUUGAUGCCACAUUGCCACUGCCACCGAUUUCUACUUUGUUUAUGUGAUUGUGAUGUAGAUGAAGAAGAAAUAUGUUAGCUUGUUUGAAUUGUGCGACAAAUCUUCAAAGGCAAGGAAAAUAAGUUCUACAUCCACACCAACUGCUAUUUCCGUUGAGGUUGAGAGCAACCUACAGCUAGCACUAGUGCAUACACAUGACGAAGCUCCGCAACCGGAGAGGGAGAGAGGCUCCCCGUCCCCAAUUGUAGAAGAUGAUGAAGCGGUUGAUGAAGAUGAUGAACCAAGUCCCCAAUUCGAAGCAGAUUUGGCGGCUCUGGAACGUGAUCCUGGCAAGCGACUUCCCAUAUCUUCAUAUCAUGUCAAUGACCAGGAUGUAGUUAGAAGGAGAUACAGUGACUUGGGAGCUUGUGAACCAAAGGGUCACAAAUUUGAGAUCAGAGAUUUUAGUGGACAUCCCUGUCGCUUUUGUCCUUCUUGGUUUAAGGAUCACAAGUGGCUUGAGUAUAGUGUGGACAAAGAGGUCAUGUUCUGCUUUGUUUGCUAUUUGUUCAAGGAUAAAACAAAAAGCCCUGGUGGAGAUCCAUUUGUUAAGGGUGGGUUUAGAAACUGGAACAUGAAAGCAAGAUUGACAAGGCAUGUUGGUGAUGUAAGUAGUGCUCACACUGUAGCUCAAGAGAAAUAUGAUAUGUUCACUACAUGUCGGAGUAAUGGGCCACGGGUAGCCUAACCCGAGUCCCAGAACCUUUCAAGACAUCGGGGCCGGCUGCGCCCCUCAGGACAUUGAGAUGAAGCGCCGCCUUCUGUUGGCCGGCUGGCCCAAGCGGCCGGCUGCCAGAAAGCGGCUAAGCUCCAGAAGGCAGCACCAAGACGGGCCGACUCCUUGCAGGCGGCCUCCAGAGAGGCCGGCUUCUAGCAGGCGGCCCAUGGCGCCCUCUGAGUCUGCGCCCCCAUUAAGGAAGACAAGACAUGGUGAGGCUACAGUGUAGCCCAUCAUGCCUGUAUCCAGGGCCGGGUGUGGCCACGGUGCUCCGUACAGGCGGAGAUCUCCGCCCGGCGCGGCACUGUUGCCACUCCGCCCCUGACGUCGCAACUGACAGGGAGAGCCCUGUUCCCACGACGGCCUGUCGGUACGGCCUGCAGGCGGCGGGCCCUACCAGGCAGCGAGAGCCUGGAAGACGGCGGAGGCCUGACCAGCCGGACCUGAGGGAGGCCGGCUUCCAGUAGGCGGCCCGUUCCUUCCUUGGGGCCCAUGCGCCAUUAACCAGAUGAGACACGGUGUGACUAUAGUGAUCUCCCAUCAGGCGGCGGGACUGUAGCCACGCUCCCCUGACCAAGUGUGCGUCAUUAGCGUCACGGCUACAGUAAUCAGCAGCCGACCAGACCCACAAGCGGCGGAGGCGGCCUGUCGGCUCCGUACUAGACCAGUCGGCGGGGCCCAUCAGGCGGCGGGCCGCAGCAGCCGGCGGAGAAGCCGGCGACCAGAGGCACUGACAGUCGGGUCCUACACCCGGCCAGAUUACCAUUGUACCCCUAGUGGUAGGCCAAUAUAAACCCCCCAGGGCACCCAUGCAAAGGGUUCCCAACCUGUUAGAACUAGACUCAUACCUAGAGGAAGGAGAGAGCGCGCCUUCCUUCUUCUACCUCUAGCAUACAGCUCGAGGAGCACCAUUGUAUCCACCAGUGCCUUAGUGAUCAUGCGGAGACCCCCGAGAGCAGGACUAGAGGUGUUAUCUCCUAGGAGAGCCCCGAACCUGGGUAAAGUGCGCCGGUGUUCGUGUCUACGCCUCAUCCCGCUUCCAGGCACCGGCGACGUUCUACUCGCUCCCACCAUGAUAAGCCAUCCAUUGGCAUAUGUCGCACCCAACCCCCGACAUUUGGCGCCCACCAUGGGGCAAGGUGCACCGUCUCCCGGAGACCUGUUUUGGACGGGAACCUUGUUCCUUCCUGGCGAGCUCAGCCAGCCCAGCACGCCAGACGGCGUCUGCGCUGACGCGCUGCAAGGCGCGGAGGUCGCCUGUGCGGCGAGCUACCUCGCCGAUCUUGUUGGCGAGAUCCGCCUCUCCGACGAGCCCGCAUCCGACGCGGGCACAGAAGGCCCCGAGAGCCGCCUCGUUAGCCUCCUCGAUCAGCUCCACGUCGGCAGCGAGCCUGCUGUGGACUUGGAGUCGGUCGGCUCCACCGACCCGAUGCUUGUCGACUCCGACACAGCGUCGCUUGACGCGUUCCCCACCAACAUGGUGGUCUCCGACGAACCGCUUCCUCGCGCGGACAGCGGUGGUAGCACCGUCACGGAGGUGCUCGUCAUCAACCACGGCGAGCACUCUGGCGGGGGUGGCCCGGAUCCGUUGCAGGCGGCGAUGCAAGGCCUGACUGCGCCCAUCCCGGAAGACGCUGAAGUCGAGAGGCUGGAGGCACGCCGUGUCCAGCUCGUCGAAAGCGCCAACCGGCUGGCCAGCAUGAGACGCCUUUCGGAGGCCUACCAGCGUGAGAUGGACCGUGCCGUCGGCGGCACGCCGGCUCCUGGUGGGCCUAGCCGUAUUGGCCAGAUCCGACAGCGUGGCGCGACCAUCGCCAGCAUGUUCAAGACAGAUCGUCCCGUCUACGCCACGCCUGCGGAGAACAUACGAGCUGCCCAGGCGGCAGCAGACGAGCUAGAAAAGCUCGAGGGCGACGAGCGUCACCACAUGACGGAGCGCGUCCAGCAGCUCCUUGACGCGGCUGCUGAGCAGCAAGAGGCCGGGUGCCGCACUGAAGCACCCAACCGGCGAAACGACGACCCGCCUCCCCGCCGGACCAAGGCGCGACAUCCCGGACACCGACUGGUGGCGUCCGCGGUAGAAGAGACAAGGAGCCGGCUGCCAGCCGCAGCCAGACUCGCAUCACCAUCGAGCGCGACCAAUACGGCCGCCCAAGAGGAGUGGAACGACGGGACGACUGUCCGCCUCCACCUCCCCCCUGCAGGGAGAGGUGCGUCUCCCCGCCGCCUGUUGAUCACCCGACACUCGGCGACCGCCUUGGCCGCCGAGAAGGAGUCGGAGAGAACGAUGCCCGCCAUCAGAUCGACCGCCUCAACCGAUCCCUGGCGCUAGAAGAAGAAGAUGAAUUGGGUCCGCCUUGUUUUGGCCCCCGCAUCCGAGAUGAGCCCUUCCCCAAAGGGUUCACGCUCCCAAGAGAUACGCCCAAGUACACCGGCUCCGUGAAGCCGGAAGACUGGCUGGUCGACUACUCCACAGCCGUCAGCAUCGCGAACGGCAACAAGCGUGUUGCCGUGAAGUACGUUCCGCUCAUGCUCCAGGGCACAGCCCGGACAUGGCUGAACAACCUGAAGCCCCGCAGCAUCAACAGCUGGGUCGAUUUCAUCGAAGCCUUCAUCCGCAACUUCACCAACACGUACAAGCGGCCGCCCAAGCCUCGCCAGUUCUCCUUAUGCGUCCAAGGCCCCAACGAGUCGACUCGCGACUACCUCACGUUCUGGGCCGAGCUGCGCAACUCUUGCGAGGGCGUCCACGAGGUGCAGGCCAUCGAGUACUUCACCGCCGGGUGCCGAGAAGGCACCCUCCUCAAGCACAAGCUUCUUUGCGACGAGCCGACGACCCUCGACGAACUGCUGAUCAUAGCAGACAAGUACGCCAUGAUACGUCCAUUUUGCAUCAUGCUUUUAUAUCGAUAUUUAUUGCAUCAUUGGCUAUUAUCACUCAUUAUGUCACAAUAAUUAUGCCUAUUCUCUCUUAUUUUACAAGGUUUACAUAAGGAGGGAGAAUGCCGGCAGCUGGAAUUCCGGGCUGGAAAAGGAGCAAAAUAUUAAAGACCUAUUCUGCACAAAUCCAAAAGUCCUGAAACUCCACGAAAGU
rnacentral:lncRNA from 1 species